rnacentral:rRNA from 1 species
UACAGAGGGUGCAAGCGUUAAUCGAAAUUACUGGGCGUAAAGGGUGCGUAGGUGGUUUGAUAAGUUAGAUGUGAAAGUCCUGGGCUCAACCUGGGAAUGGCGCGCGAAACGGGGGGGCUUGAGUUCGGGAGAGGAGCGUGGAAUUCCCAGUGUAGAGGUGAAAUUCGUAGAUAUUGGGAAGAACACCGGUGGCGAAGGCGGCGCUCUGGACCGAGACUGACGCUGAGGCGCGAAAGCGUGGGGAGCAAACAGG